rnacentral:rRNA from 1 species
GACGAACGCCGGCGGCGUGCCUAAUACAUGCAAGUCGAGCGAAUCAAUAGGAGCUUGCUCCUGUUGGUUAGCGGCGGACGGGUGAGUAACACGUGGGCAACCUGCCUGUAAGACUGGGAUAACACCGGGAAACCGGUGCUAAUACCGGAUAAUCCUUUUCCUCUCAUGAGGAAAAGCUGAAAGACGGUUUCGGCUGUCACUUACAGAUGGGCCCGCGGCGCAUUAGCUAGUUGGUGAGGUAACGGCUCACCAAGGCGACGAUGCGUAGCCGACCUGAGAGGGUGAUCGGCCACACUGGGACUGAGACACGGCCCAGACUCCUACGGGAGGCAGCAGUAGGGAAUCUUCCACAAUGGACGAAAGUCUGAUGGAGCAACGCCGCGUGAGCGAUGAAGGCCUUCGGGUCGUAAGGCUCUGUUGUUAGGGAAGAACAAGUACAGGAGUAACUGCCGGUACCUUGACGGUACCUAACCAGAAAGCCACGGCUAACUACGUGCCAGCCGCCGCGGUAACAC